rnacentral:rRNA from 1 species
GGCGAACGCUGGCGGCGUGCUUAACACAUGCAAGUCGAACGGAAAGGCCUGCUUUCCCUUGUGGAUUGCGGGUACUCGAGUGGCGAACGGGUGAGUAACACGUGAGUGAUCUGCCCCCAACUUGGGUAUAAGCCUGGGAAACUGGGUCUAAUUCCCGAUAGGACUGCAGGGUGGUGCCUGUGGUGGAAAACGAUUUUCUAGUGGUUGGGGAUGGGCUCGCGGCCUAUCAGCUUGUUGGUGGGGUAAUGGCCUACCAAGGCGGCGACGGGUAGCCGGCCUGAGAGGGUGGACGGCCACAUUGGGACGGAGAUACGGCCCAGACUCGUACGGGAGGCAGCAGUGGGGAAUAUUGCACAAUGGGCGGAAGCCUGAUGCAGCGACGCCGCGUGGGGGAUGACGGCCUUCGGGUUGUAAACUCCUUUCGACCGAGAGGAAGCCACCUGGUUGGAAGGGUGGUGACGGUAGUGGUAGAAGAAGCACCGGCUAACUACG